UCGAAGCAGACACCAGUGGGCCAGAGGGUGACCACCUGGUGCUGUCCCGGCUGUCUGGCAGGACACUGCCCUCAGAGCUGUCUUUGGAUAAAGGCCAUGCUACUAAUGGUGCAAUGGAACAAUCAAAGCUAACUGCACUGGCAAUGACACCGUGGAGGAAGCAGUAGUUGUGAUUGCCUAGGGAUAUGAUUCAGCUGCGCACCAAGGAUGUGUAAUAGCUCUUUGCCUCUAAAAGAGGAGCUCUCUGCUUCCUUCCUUCCAUUCCUGCUCACAGAUGCAUGAUCUGAAGCUUGCUCUGCAAGCAUCUGAAGUCAUCAGUGUAGAACAGCUGCAGCUCUGCUGCAUAAAAAGAGGCAGCUGACACGCUGUGAAAAAAUUUCAGGAAAAUGUACUCUUUUUACUUUGAGGCACAGCAGUAUGUUGGAUCAUUCUCAGGGGAGCUGAACAGUGGAGGCAACAGAGAUGUGAAUAGAAAUACAUGCAAGAGAUCAUAGAGCUGAGGAAAAUACAACUGUAGCAUAACGGGCCCUUCAUAAUUCAAGUGAUCAUCAGAGGUUUUUGGACCUGGUAUUCAACUGAGUGGAGUGGAAAAACAGAGACUGCCAGUCACCAUAUUUGUGUGGAAUUCAGAGGCAACCUGUCUUUAAGACUCCAAUUAUUGGAAAAUGGAAAAAAUCCCAACCUAUAUCUCCCCAAAGAGAAACCAAGUUGCUGAGAAAUUCUCUCAGUGGGUCAAUAAUAGUACUCCCUGAGUUGCCAUACUAAUUUUCUUCAUUUGGUUGAGGUGUUUCUGUGUCUCCUAACAAAGUGCAUUCUGCGCUUCCACUUCCUCUGUAGCAGAAAAAUGUCUGAUAUAUUUUUUCAUUGAUAAAGUGGAAACACUUUCCACUAGACCAGGUUCCUCAAAGCCCCAUCCACCCUGACUUUCACCACUUCAAGGGAUGGGGAAUCCACACCUUCUCUGGGUUCCCAUUCCAGUGCCCCAGCACCCUCACCAUGAAAAAAUUCUUCCUUACAUCUAAUCUAAGUCAUGUAUAACUAUUCAUUAUUACUGAGUUACAUAGCUACAGGUAUGCAAACAGCAAGUAACUACAACAGGAAUACAGAUGUCAUUAUUUGUGCAAGAAAACCUUCAUCUGGAAAAGCAAAGGCUCCAGGAAUUAUCAGUUGAAAAUCAGAAGAAACAUAUGGAGAUUUCAUAAAUGCUGAUCAAAGUCUCUUGUUGCUGUCCUUAGCAUUAAUGAAAACAGAUCAUGUCAAAAGCUUGUGUAAGUUCUGUAUAUAAUUUUUAUUUAUCUAGGACACUGACCACAUUAUGUCUUCUCUAAUUUAUUCUAUUUGGUCUCCUUUGAAGCAAUUACACAGUUUACAUUUUGAUUCACUAACUAAAUAUUGUAAUAAAAAAAUCUAAAAUAAUUUAAAAAACCCACUCCAUCAGACAAGACAAAAUUGUAUUCUUUUAACAAAGCUGAUUAUCUUUUCAAAUGAAUGCCUCAGGACUCAGGGUAAACAAUACAUCCAAUGGACAAAAGCCUCUUAAUUGCAUUCCAAACACGCAGACUGUGCUGGUCACCAAAGGCAGAAAUUAAUUUCUCCUUAGGUGUUAUCUUCCCACCAACAGGGACUACAGCUACAGCAAAGUACUUCUUUAAACUAUACAUAUAACAUUUUUUUUAAAAAGAUGCCACCCUGUUUCAUUUCAGUUAUGAAUACAAAUGGAUGGUAUGCCAGUCAGUCAUGAAUGAGUUUUGAUAGUUGCAACAGCUUCUGCCUCAUAAAUAAAAUGCAGAGUUUGGUCACUGAAAAAAUGUAGAGCACGAUAAACCCUCUAUCAACGAGCACAGAUCUCCCCAUUCUUUUCCUUGUAAGUGAGGACGGUUUGUCCCUGGGACCUCCACCAUGAAUGAAACAGUCACUGAUGAAAUUACAGUGGGUGUGUGUGCAGAGAUCUGUGACUCCACCACUGUCUAAACACCCCUCUCCAUUUUCAGAUUAAAAAAAAAAGACAAAAUAUUUCCUAAAUAUAUUUAACAUACUAUCCAUGUUCUGGAUAUUUACAAGAUACCAGAAAAAAUAUUUUUGUUUUUCUUCUUAAAUAUUCAUUUGGGGAGACUUUGUCAUGGUGGUAGAUCAUUAAAGGUCUCUGGCUGU